rnacentral:misc_RNA from 1 species
UACGAGUGCCCCAAGCGUUGUCCGGAAUCAUUGGGCGUAAAGGGUGCGCAGGCGGUUGUGUUAGUCUUUUGUUAAAGCCCAGGGCUUAACCCUGGAACCGCAAAAGAAACGGCACAACUUGAGGGCGCGAGAGGUCUACGGAACUCACGGUGUAGGGGUGAAAUCCGUUGAUAUCGUGGGGAACACCAAAUGCGAAGGCAGUAGACUGGCGCGUUCCUGACGCUCAGGCACGAAAGCGUGGGUAGCGAACGGG